AACGAACGCUGGCGGCAGGCUUAACACAUGCAAGUCGAGGGGCAGCAGGACGGUAGCAAUACCGUUGCUGGCGACCGGCAAACGGGUGCGGAACACGUACGCAACCUACCCAUAACUGGUGAAUAGCCCUCCGAAAGGAGGAUUAAUACACCGUAACCUCUUUGAGUGGCAUCACUUGAUGAGUAUAGCUCCGGCGGUUAUGGAUGGGCGUGCGCCUGAUUAGGUAGUUGGCGGGGUAACGGCCCACCAAGCCUGCGAUCAGUAACUGGUGUGAGAGCACGACCAGUCACACGGGCACUGAGACACGGGCCCGACUCCUACGGGAGGCAGCAGUAAGGAAUAUUGGUCAAUGGACGCAAGUCUGAACCAGCCAUGCUGCGUGAAGGAUGAAGGUCCUCUGGAUUGUAAACUUCUUUUAUAGGGGAAGAAACCUGGAUAUUCCUAUUCAGUUGACGGUACCCUAGGAAUAAGCACCGGCUAACUCCGUGCCAGCCGCCGCCGUAAUAC
rnacentral:rRNA from 1 species